rnacentral:misc_RNA from 1 species
GGACGCUGUGCCAAAUUAAUAAAAGAAUCGAUUGAUGACGCGAUAACUUGCACGAAAAUACCUUGGAACGGUUGAAAAUCAGCGUGAAAUUUAACAUACUGCUAUGUGAAGACAUGUUAAUUUUCUUUUACAAUACACCGCUGUGGUAGUACUACACAAUAGAAUAUGUGUAUCGAAGCAGGACGGAACUAUGUAAAACCUUAUUACCAAAGUAUUCACGGAAUUUUCAAGACGGAAUCAAGUGUAACCUCGGGCGAGACAAAUUUUCGCGGGACAGGCUCAUUCAAUGAAAAAAGGAUAGAGACUGAUGAACUUUCGAAUUACAAACUUCAUCAAAUAAGUAACUCUGUCUGUAAUGAAAUUUACCAUAAUUCUGAUUAAUUUUUAAACAAAAUGUACUCUCGUUUCUACCAGCCACCUGGUUACUUAAUUAACUUCAAAUUUAGAUUCGAAUGUACAUACAUAUUGUACAUAGAUUUUUC